CAUGUAGGCGGAUUGAUAAGUUUGAAGUGAAAUCCUAUAGCUUAACUAUAGAACUGCUUUGAAAACUGUUAAUCUAGAAUGUGGGAGAGGUAGAUGGAAUUUCUGGUGUAGGGUAAAAUCCGUAGAGAUCAGAAGGAAUACCGAUUGCGAAGGCGAUCUACUGGAACAUUAUUGACGCUGAGAUGCGAAAGCGUGGGAGCAAACA
rnacentral:rRNA from 1 species